rnacentral:lncRNA from 1 species
CGAAUCUUGCAAUUCCGGCAGCCUCAAGGGGUGGCAAUGGUCGGAAAAGAAAGCCCAGAAGUGGCUGAUCAUUUUGAGCCUAAGAACGCCGCAAAUGGUCAUCGGAAACUCCAUGAUCGGCGGCAAGGAAAAAUCUGCCGUUCUAGUCACUUCCGCUGCCUGCCGACGCUUCCAGCUACAGCCACUAGCGCCAACGGGCUUAUCGACGAUAGCAGCGCCCCUAGCCACCGCCGCUGCAUCACGGACGAGCCUUUUACACUACCGCCACCGAUGGCCGACAUCCUCUUCCUCUUUUUCCUCUUCUUCUUCUUCUUCUUCUU